UUUUCUUAAAACGACCAAAACUCUGUUUUUUUUUCCUCCAUUUCCUAAUCUGCUCUUCCACUUGCGUUUUCAAGUCAAAACUUUUUUAGACUUCUCAAAUCCCCUAAGAGACAAACAUAGAGGCAUCAUCAACUCAUCACCCUUUAAAGAGAAAAAAAAGAAGAAGAAGAGAAUAAUGGAUUGUAACGGAAACUAAUAUUCGAUCCAUUUUGAAGAUGGCACUGAAACGAGGGAAGCUUGAUUCGUGUGUGAAUUCUCUCAUCUAUGGGUUUCAUCAUCCGUCUUAAUUGUUGUAGGAGGAUAAUCUCUAUGUAUAGAUGUAUGUUAGGAUAUAAAUGAGAUAAUGAACGACGUGUUAGAUGUAUGUUAGGAGGUAAAAAGAUGAAAAUGAAUGAUGUAUGUAUAGGGA